rnacentral:rRNA from 1 species
GGUCUAGCGGCGGACGGGUUAGUAACGCGUGGGAAUAUACCCUUCACUACGGAAUAGCCUCGGGAAACUGGGAGUAAUACCGUAUACGCCCUUUGGGGGAAAGAUUUAUCGGUGAAGGAUUAGCCCGCGUCUGAUUAGAUAGUUGGUGGGGUAAUGGCCUACCAAGUCUACGAUCAGUAGCUGGUUUGAGAGGAUGAUCAGCAACACUGGGACUGAGACACGGCCCAGACUCCUACGGGAGGCAGCAGUGGGGAAUCUUAGACAAUGGGCGCAAGCCUGAUCUAGCCAUGCCGCGUGAGUGACGAAGGCCUUAGGGUCGUAAAGCUCUUUCGCCAGAGAUGAUAAUGACAGUAUCUGGUAAAGAAACCCCGGCUAACUCCGUGCCAGCAGCCGCGGUAAUACGGAGGGGGUUAGCGUUGUUCGGAAUUACUGGGCGUAAAGCGCACGUAGGCGGAUUGGAAAGUAUGGGGUGAAAUCCCAGGGCUCAACCCUGGAACGGCCUUGUAAACUCCCAGUCUAGAGUUCGAGAGAGGUGAGUGGAAUUCCAAGUGUAGAGGUGAAAUUCGUAGAUAUUUGGAGGAACACCAGUGGCGAAGGCGGCUCACUGGCUCGAUACUGACGCUGAGGUGCGAAAGUGU